rnacentral:rRNA from 1 species
UACGUAGGGUGCAAGCGUUGUCCGGAAUUAUUGGGCGUAAAGAGCUCGUAGGCGGUUUGUCGCGUCUGCUGUGAAAACUCGGGGCUUAACUCCGGGCCUGCAGUGGGUACGGGCACACUAGAGUGCGGUAGGGGAGAGUGGAAUUCCUGGUGUAGCGGUGAAAUGCGCAGAUAUCAGGAAGAACACCCGUGGCUAAGGCGGCUCUCUAGUACGGUACUGACGCUGAGACGCGAAAGCGUGGGGAGCGAACAGG